rnacentral:rRNA from 1 species
UUGACCUACGGGAGGCAGCAGUGAGGAAUAUUGGUCAAUGGGCGAGAGCCUGAACCAGCCAAGUCGCGUGAGGGAGUACUGCCCUAUGGGUUGUAAACCUCUUUUGUCGGGGAGCAAAAGCCGGACGUGUCCGGCUGUGAGAGUACCCGAAGAAAAAGCAUCGGCUAACUCCGUGCCAGCAGCCGCGGUAAUACGGAGAAUGCGAGCGUUAUCCGGAUUUAUUGGGUUUAAAGGGUGCGUAGGCGGUUCGAUAAGUUAGAGGUGAAAUCCCGGGGCUCAACUCCGGCACUGCCUCUGAUACUGUC